rnacentral:rRNA from 1 species
GGAAUAUUGGUCAAUGGGCGGGAGCCUGAACCAGCCAAGUCGCGUGAGGGAUGACGGCCCUAUGGGUUGUAAACCUCUUUUGCCGGGGAGCAAAGUGCCGCACGUGUGCGGCUCGGUGAGUACCCGGAGAAAAAGCACCGGCUAACUCCGCGCCCGCAGCCGCGGUAAUACGGAGGAUGCGAGCGUUAUCCGGAUUUAUUGGGUUUAAAGGGUGCGUAGGCGGACGCUUAAGUCAGCGGUAAAAUUGCGGGGCUCAACAUCGUCGAGCCGUUGAAACUGGGUGUCUUGAGUGGGCGAGAAGUACGCGGAAUGCGUGGUGUAGCGGUGAAAUGCAUAGAUAUCACGCAGAACUCCGAUUGCGAAGGCAGCGUACCGGCGCCCAACUGACGCUGAAGCACGAAGGCGUGGGUAUCGAA